UUGUAUUUCACCAUUGUUUAUCCUUUUCCAUUGCUCUUUCUUUUGCUCGCAGAUUGAAACUCCCAAAGAUGUUCAAGAAAAGUUUGGCAGAACUGUGGUUGAAUCAUAUCUACUGUGAUAGGUUACAUAGGUUUACAAAGAAACAAUAUAAUCUGUGGAUAGAUUAAUCUCUUGAGCAUUUGGGAUGACCAAGCUGUUAUUUUCUGAAUCGAGGUUAUAUAAUAGGGAAAACAAACGACGCAGUGCCGGUGGCAAAAAGAUGCCGAAAGGAGAACCACUUUGCUUUUCUUUUUGAAAUGUGGAAUCAAAAUUGCUGAAAUUGAGCAGCAUAAUCAAUAAAAUCCUUUUAGUUUUGCAUAGUGAACUAUUCAUACCAAAAUCAUUUUUCUUGAUGCAGUUGCAUAUUUUAGUUGAUUAUGGUUUUAGGCUUAUGCUCUUUCUCUGUCUCUCAUGAAUUGUGUUGAGGAUAGGAAAUAACGUUGAUAUGGGCACUUAAUUUGUAAGA